rnacentral:rRNA from 1 species
GACGAACGCUGGCGGCGUGCUUAACACAUGCAAGUCGAACGCGCCUGUCCUCUGGGUUUCUGGGGGGUGGGUGAGUGGCGAACGGGUGAGUAACACGUGAGUAACCUGCCCCCUUCUUCGGGAUAACGGUCUGAAAGGGCUGCUAGUACCGGGUAUUCACUGGUCUCCGCAUGGGGUCUGGUGGAAAGGUUUUUUUCUGGUGGGGGAUGGGCUCGCGGCCUAUCAGCUUGUUGGUGGGGUGAUGGCCCACCAAGGCUUUGACGGGUAGCCGGCCUGAGAGGGUGACCGGUCACAUUGGGACUGAGAUACGGCCCAGACUCCUACGGGAGGCAGCAGUGGGGAAUAUUGCACAAUGGGCGCAAGCCUGAUGCAGCGACGCCGCGUGAGGGAUGGAGGCCUUCGGGUUGUGAACCUCUUUCGCCCGUGGUCAAGCCGCGACGUGGGUCGUGGUGAGGGUAGUGGGUAAAGAAGCGCCGGCUAACUACGUG